CAUAGGGGAUACCAACAUGGAGUUUUGAGUCCAUGAUGGACUCCGAGUUUAAUAGAAUGCUUGCUGCUGCCACAGUUUAUACUAAGACGCAAGGACAAGUUUUUCCUUGCGGUAGAGGCAAUAACUACUGCCUCCCACCAAAAAAUGUUAAUAAGUGCCGUGGGUUAUACGACCGGACUUGGAAUCGCUUUAAGUAGCUUAUUUUGCAGGUGUUUCAUGUUAAACCAGAAAUUCUGAUUAUUUGCAUUGCUUGUUCUGGCUCGUGGUUUGUGUUUGUUCCAUUGUCUUCCCACAUCUUUGGAACUGAAGUUAGAAAUUUCAAUGUCGAGGCUAUGAUUGCGAUUCCUAGCAACUUUAUUUCUUAUAGCAAGUCCAGAGUUGUGAGAUUUUAAAGGAUUUGAAGUGUUAUUUACGUUAUAGUUCUUGAUUUUUUUUCUAAACUAGUAGUUUUUGCAGAGUUACAGAGUUUUAUUUCUAAAAGAACAUGUAUUAUUAUUUUUUAUUGUUACAGAGUUUAAAACUUAUAAGAUAUAUUAAUUUUUUUUUCUUUUA
rnacentral:misc_RNA from 1 species